GCAAAUACUUCACAACUUUAAAGCUAUUCAGGUAUUUUUUUUUAUUAGUGUCCCUUUUACACAAGUCUUGACACUGACUCUUACACACAAUCACCAAUGCGGUGGCCCGAGCCAGGAGAUGGCAAGAAAGGGCAUGUUCAGAUUUGUUGACGCAGGUAGUGUACGUGUCCUCGGACCGAAACGAGGACGAAAUGAACGCCUUCCUGAACAGCACCCACGAAAACUGGCCUGCGCUUCCCUACGGUGACAACCUGCAGUUCGCUCUCAAGGCCCGGUACAAGAUCGCCGCCAUACCAACGCUGGUGGUACUCAGGGCCGACGGCAGCCUGGUGUGCGCCAACGGCAGGUCCCAAAUCGUGGCCAAGUCCCACCUGGCGUUCGCGGACUGGCUCUCCUCCUCCUGAAGAAAGGGCCAACACAUAUAUGCGCCACGGAAUGGCCAACAUUGCGGCGUCCAAUUUUUACGGCUGUGACGAGACGACAGACCACCCUGCGUGUCACUGUCCAUCCUUCGACGCUCAACGAUCAAAGCUAGACUCCGCCGUUUUGAUGACAGACCGCUCUAGG